AACACCAAUAACAUUUUUAAGAAGGUAAUAAUGGUAAUGUGGACCAAGUUGAGGAAGUGGAGGAGGUCUGUCUGCCACGUUUAGUGGUGAGAGAUAGAAGGAUCCAGUUGUCAUGCAGUCAGAGGAGGAGUUCUUGAAACGUUAUCAACUGCCAAAGCAGUGCACCAGAAACCUGCGCCAGAAAAUCAGCAGAAAAUUACCCACAGCAAGAGAUGGCAGAGGUUGCAGCUUGUGUUAUGUUGCAUAAUCUAGCCACAACUGAGAAUAUUGAUAUUGUCAAAGAAGAAGACACAUAUGAACUGAGAGCAUGAUGCAGUACACUGCGAAAAUAAUGAUAAUCGUUUAGGGUUUGAUGUCAGAAAAUGUUUGUGAACAAUGGUUUUAGGAUGGCUUAGCAGUCAGAGAAUUUCUGGAUGAAUCAUUAAUUUCCACUUUAAGC
rnacentral:lncRNA from 1 species